GACGAGCCACCCGAACGUUAUUCGGAAUUACUGGGCUUCAAGGGUGCGUAGGCGGUGUAGUAAGUCGGGAGUGAAAUACCCCAGCUUAACUGAGGAAUUGCUUUCGAUACUGCUGCGCUUGAGUGAGACAGAGGUAAGCGGAACUUAGGGUGGAGCGGUGAAAUGCGUUGAUAUCCUAAGGAACACCGGUGGCGAAGGCGGCUUACUGGGUCUCAACUGACGCUGAGGCACGAAAGCAUGGGUAGCGAACGGG
rnacentral:rRNA from 1 species